rnacentral:sRNA from 1 species
AUUCUGCCCAUGCGGGGAAGGAUGAGAAGCUUCGACNAAGGUUCGGCUCGAGCGUCAGCGAGAGAGCGUUGCCGCAGGCAACGACCCGAAGGGCGAAGCGCGCAGCGCUGAGUAAUCCUUCCCCCACCACCA